UGCUUUGUACGGGCUCCUCAAGUGGAGA
rnacentral:sRNA from 1 species